CGCGUAGGCGGCUUAUCAAGUCAGGCGUGAAAUUCCCGGGCUCAACCUGGGGGCUGCGCUUGAUACUGAUGAGCUUGAAUGCGGGAGAGGAUAGUGGAAUUCCCAGUGUAGAGGUGAAAUUCGUAGAUAUUGGGAAGAACACCGGUGGCGAAGGCGGCUAUCUGGCCCGUAAUUGACGCUGAGGCGCGAAAGCGUGGGAGCAAACA
rnacentral:rRNA from 1 species